GAUGAAGAACGUAGCGAAAUGCGAUAAGUAAUGUGAAUUGCAGAAUUCAGUGAAUCAUCGAAUCUUUGAACGCACAUUGCGCCCUUUGGUAUUCCUUAGGGCAUGCCUGUUCGAGCGUCAUUUAAACCUUCAAGCUAAGCUUGGUGUUGGGUGACUGUCCGCUUCACGGCGGACUCGCCUCAAAAUUAUUGGCGGCCGGUACAUUGGCUUCGAGCGCAGCAGAAACGCGAACUCGGGCCCGUCGUAUUGGCUCCCAGAAGCUAUCUUCACAAUUUUGACCUCGGAUCAGGUAGGGAUACCCGCUGAACUUAAGCUUAUCAAUAAGCGGAGGA
rnacentral:misc_RNA from 1 species